GGUGCUUAAUGAACAGGCGCAAAAAAUAAACCCUCUUUAGCAACCCAGGACUCAUCGUUUGGUAUGAGUUUUGAUAGAUAUAAGAAGGAAUAUU
rnacentral:snoRNA from 1 species